rnacentral:lncRNA from 1 species
ACAUGUUGGCACGUGAUUGGACAGAUCGAAAAAAAAUAAAAAAAGUUAUCCAUCUAAACAUUGUAUAACUCACUAAUAACAAGUUUUAUUCUCGUACAUAAAAAUUCCCUAACCAAUUAAUCUAACAACCACUACCUCCACCACCACCUCCUCCACCUCCAGCUGCUGCUACUGCUGCUGCUACUCCACUUCCCUUCUUGUGAUCAGGGUCAUCAGCGCAGUCUCCACAAGCAAAAAUAAACAUGGACAUAAUGGACAAAGACAUAACAAUCAUACCAAGCAUGAACAUGAACCCCAUAAAGCCUCCCUCACUUGCAAAAUUGCCACCAUUUGCAACAACAAAAUACCGAGCCAUGUUGAUCGAGCAAAGAUAAAUAUUUUGGGAGGACUCAAC